UACGAAGGGGGCUAGCGUUGCUCGGAAUCACUGGGCGUAAAGGGCGUGUAGGCGGUUUGUUAAGUCUGGCGUGAAAGCUCUCGGCUAAACCGGGAGAGGUCGUUGGAUACUGGCAAACUAGAGGAUGGUAGAGGCGUGUGGAAUUCCGGGUGUAGUGGUGAAAUGCGUAGAGAUCCGGAGGAACACCAGUGGCGAAGGCGACACGCUGGGCCAUACCUGACGCUAAAGCGCGACAGCAUGGGGAGCAAACGGG
rnacentral:rRNA from 1 species